ACGGGAGGCAGCAGUGGGGAAUAUUGGGCAAUGGGCGAAAGCCUGACCCAGCGACGCCGCGUGAAGGAAGAAGGUCUUCGGAUUGUAAACUUCAGUCAACAGGGAAGAAACAAAUGACGGUACCUGUGGAGGAAGCCACGGCUAACUACGUGCCAGCAGCCGCGGUAAUACGUAGGUGGCAAGCGUUAUCCGGAAUUACUGGGUGUAAAGGGUGUGUAGGCGGGGACGCAAGUCAGAUGUGAAAUGAUUGGGCUUAACCCAAUAAGUGCAUUUGAAACUGUGUUUCUUGAGAGUCGGAGAGGUAAACGGAAUUCCCAGUGUAGCGGUGAAAUGCGUAGAUAUUGGGAGGAACACCAGUGGCGAAGGCGGUUUACUGGACGACAACUGACGCUGAGACACGAAAGCGUGGGGAGCAAACAGGAUUAGAUACCCUGGUA
rnacentral:rRNA from 2 species